rnacentral:rRNA from 1 species
CCUANGGGGGGCUGCAGUCGAGAAUAUUUGUCAAUGUACGAAAGUAUGAACAUGCGACGCCGCGUGGAGGAUGAAGGCCUUCGGGUUGUAAACUCCUGUCAUGAGGGAGUAAGUGCAGGCAGGCUAAUAUCCUGCUUGCUUGACAGUACCUCAAGAGGAAGUCACGGCUAACUCUGUGCCAGCAGCCGCGGUAAUACAGAGGUGGCAAGUGUUGUUCGGAUUUACUGGGCGUAAAGGGUCCGCAGGCGGCUUUGUGUGUCAGAUGUGAAAUCCCACGGCUCAACCGUGGAAUGGCAUUUGAAACUACAGAGCUAGAGUACAGGAGAGGAGAGGGGAAUUCAUGGUGUAGCGGUGAAAUGCGUAGAUAUCAUGAAGAACACCGGUGGCGAAAGCGCCUCUCUGGACUGAUACUGACGCUCAUGGACGAAAGCCAGGGGAGCAAAGAGGAUUAGAUACCCCANUANUC